AACUUUGCGCAGUGGCAGUAUCAUAGCCAAUGAGGUUUAUCAGAGGCACGAUUAUUGCUAAUUGAAAAAUCAACAGGACA
rnacentral:snRNA from 1 species